UACAGAGGUGGCGAGCGUUGUUCGGAUUUAUUGGGCGUAAAGGGUCCGUAGGCGGACCGGAUAGUCAGAUGUGAAAUCCCACAGCUUAACUGUGGAACUGCAUUUGAAACUUCCGGACUAGAGUGUGAGAGGGGUUAAGGGAAUUCCCGGAUCGUAAGGGUGGAAAUCUGCAGAGAUCGGGAGGAACACCAGUCGCGAAGGCGCUUAACUGGCUCACUACUGACGCUCAGGGACGAAAGCGUGGGGAGCAAACA
rnacentral:rRNA from 1 species